UCUCCUCUCACCCAGCGUGGCAACCCUUUCAAACGGGAAGCUCCAGGUCAGUUUCCCUUGCCAAGUUUUGCAGCCUGCCAUGUUGUCUAUUCUGCUCAGCUAUUUAAAAAAUGUUGAAUAUCAACAAUGGCUUUCACUGGUGCAUUGUCAACUUUUGUAUGAAGCAAUCUUGGCUGAAUGAGAUGGGUCCCAGAGCAGGGAGAGCUCAGCUGCAGUGUGCACUACCACACCAGUGACUGCCCGGCUCUCUCGCUCUUUAUAUUUCUCUGCUGCGCUGGGAGCUGCCAUGGUGGUGCUGCUGCCGUCUGAAUGGCCGCGGUUGGAGUCUGGGCUGAGGCUCUGGGUGUCAUGCUAUCUUCCAGUCCUCGGCCCUGCUCCUGGCCCUGCUGACAGCCAGCUGUUGAAGGUGUGUCUAACAGAGGAGGGAUUGGGAAGCAGCAGCAGCAGCCGUGGGGACCAGUCAGUCCUUGGUUUGAGUGACACUCCCUCCACCUACACUGACUGAACUUUCUCUGCUUCAGACGGGCCCCACAGUGAGAGAUGAUCGUCGGGGUUGCAUCCCAACAUGUGGUUUGGGCCUGAAAGACGUGCCAGACCUGCUGCCAAAGCAUCGGCCUCCACCUCACCCUGCAGACAUGGCUGAACACACACGCAUGCAUACCCACACAAACACGCACACACACACAGUGUAAACAUCUCACAUUAUCUCUCAUAUGUGUUUUCAAGCAGACUUUACUUCCUCAUAUUUCCCUACACACCCCCCGUGCAUAUGUACCCCAGACCUUUUCCUGUCCAUACGCACACAAACGCACACAUUCUUGAAAUCUAUCUCUGUCUGUGAUGAUGGAGAAGUCACACACUUCAUGCCUGGUUUCGAGGACGUAGACACGAUCGAGCUAUGUUCACACGGUCUUCCUCGACACAAACAUAAACACACGCUUGCGUUCGGUUUGUCAGUUGUCUCUCAGGCAUGCCCUAUUUUUAAAACUGUAAGCACACCUACACACAUUCUCCCAUGCUUGGGCACACCCACGGCAUGCUGCAAGGCUGUCCUCAUCUCUAAAGAACACCCUGCACAGUUGUAAGAAGGGGAAAUUAGUCAGGUGAGGUAAAUCUAGACACCUGACACUAGUGGUCUCUUUUUAAAGUUAUUUGCACCGCCGCCCCAUACUUAAUAGUACGGCACCUACUGAUUAUUGCCUGCUCUCAGCUAGUUUGGUAAUUGCGCAGUACAUACCUGUCCAGGGUGUAAGCCCAUCAUGGUACAUGGGGCCCCUUUUUUCAUUCAGUGUCAGUCAUUGCGUGUGAUGCACGUGUCCCUCGAUUUUAAAGGUCAGUUCAUAGAAAAGUGCGUAUGUUCAAAUGUCCAGCUGGUGUUUAUGAAAAGUUCAAUCUCAAAUAAUCAGUAGCCAUGAUUUUAGACGCUCAAGAUAACACUGAAAAUGUUCAGGUCACGAAGGUCAUUUGGCAUGUUCUUAAAGCUGAGGUUAUUUUCAUGACAUCCCAAUGAGUCAGACACUCUGUAUGUGUUUGGGUGAUGGUGACGUAUGUUGUAGUAAAGCCUGUAAGUCUGUAACCACAAAAGCAUUUCAAAUAUCACUUCAAGAGUCUUUUGUAGUUAUUUUGGGUUGCUUGUUUUGCCAAUAUUAGUUUGCCCCUUAACUCAAAAUCAGAGACAUUGCUUAUCUUUUUGUCCUAUAAGAUUUAGGCUCCUUUUGCUCAUCAUAUAAAACUACUCUAAAACACUCACUCUCACUUUAUAUGUGCAUGUAGAUGCUGAAUGUAAUGUCUGUGUAUGACAGCGGUGGGUUUUUGGCUUUCAUCUAACCGUUAUGGACAAACUCUCUGAUGGCCUGGAUGCUGAACGUUGAGAUCUGGGGAAAGGAGAAUAAUGUAUCGGCAUUAUUCAGAAAGUGGGGGAACACAUAAGAAGGAUUGUUUCUGCACUGUACUUUUGCUCUGGUUUAUGCUCUUAGAUGCUUAUUUAAAAAAGGAGAUGCACUUAUGACUU